UAUAUGGGAAGGAACACCCAGUGGCGAAGGCGGCUGUCUGGUUCUGUAAACUGACGUUGAGGCUCGAAAGUAUGGGUAGCAAACAGGAUUAGAUACCCUGGGUAGUCCAUACCGUAAACGAUGAAAUGCUAAGUGUUGGGAGGGGUUUCCGCCCUUCAGUGCUGCAGCUAACGCAUUAAGCAUUCCGCCUGGGGAGUACGGCCGCAAGGCUGAAACUCAAAGGAAUUGACGGGGGCCCGCACAAGCGGUGGAGCAUGUGGUUUAAUUCGAAGCUACGCGAAGAACCUUACCAGGUCUUGACAUACUAUGCAAAUCUAAGAGAUUAGACGUUCCCUUCGGGGACAUGGAUACAGGUGGUGCAUGGUUGUCGUCAGCUCGUGUCGUGAGAUGUUGGGUUAAGUCCCGCAACGAGCGCAACCCUUAUUAUCAGUUGCCAGCAUUAAGUUGGGCACUCUGGUGAGACUGCCGGUGACAAACCGGAGGAAGGUGGGGAUGACGUCAAAUCAUCAUGCCCCUUAUGACCUGGGCUACACACGUGCUACAAUGGAUGGUACAACGAGUUGCGAACUCGCGAGAGUAAGCUAAUCUCUUAAAGCCAUUCUCAGUUCGGAUUGUAGGCUGCAACUCGCCUACAUGAAGUCGGAAUCGCUAGUAAUCGCGGAUCAGCAUGCCGCGGUGAAUACGUUCCCGGGCCUUGUACACACCGCCCGUCACACCAUGAGAGUUUGUAACACCCAAAGUCGGUGGGGUAACCUUUUAGGAACCAGCCGCUUUAAGGGGGACAGGGCUAGGGGACCCUAGCUCU
rnacentral:rRNA from 2 species